rnacentral:rRNA from 1 species
GAUGAACGCUGGCGGCGUGCUUAACACAUGCAAGUCGAACGGGAAUUACAUUUUAGCUUGCUAAGUUGUAAUUCUAGUGGCGGACGGGUGAGUAACGCGUGGGUAACCUGCCUUAUACCGGGGGACAACAGUUGGAAACGACUGCUAAUACCGCAUAAGCGCACGAUGAGGCAUCUCAUUGUGUGAAAAACUCCGGUGGUAUAAGAUGGACCCGCGUCUGAUUAGCCAGUUGGCGGUGUAACGGACCACCAAAGCGACGAUCAGUAGCCGGCCUGAGAGGGCAAACGGCCACAUUGGGACUGAGACACGGCCCAAACUCCUACGGGAGGCAGCAGUGGGGAAUAUUGCACAAUGGAGGAAACUCUGAUGCAGCGACGCCGCGUGAGUGAAGAAGUAUUUCGGUAUGUAAAGCUCUAUCAGCAGGAAAGAAAAUGACGUAC